AAAUAAUUUAAGGUCUAACCUGCCCACUGAGGAUUUAAAUGGCCGCGGUACUCUGACCGUGCAAAGGUAGCAUAAUCAUUAGUUUUUUAAUUGAAAGCUGGAAUGAAAGGUUGCAUGAAAAAAUAGCUGUCUCUAUUUAAUUUUUUUAGAAAUUUAUUUUUAAGUAAAAAAGCUUAAAUAAUAUUUGAAGACGAGAAGACCCUAUAGAGUUUUAUUAUUUUUUAUUUAAAAAUUAUUGGUAUUUAGUUAUUUUUAUAUAAAAAAUAAUUUAGUUGGGGUGAUUGAAAAAUUUAAUUAACUUUUUUUAUAUUUUUACAUUUAUUUAUGAAUUUUUGAUCCUUUAUUAAAGAUUAAAAGAUAAAAUUACCUUAGGGAUAACAGCGUAAUUUUUUUUAAGAGUUCUAAUCGAAAAAAAAGAUUGCGACCUCGAUGUUGGAUUAAAAUAAAAUUUUGGUGUAGCAGCUAAAGUAUUUGGGUCUGUUCGACCCUUAAAAUUUUA
rnacentral:rRNA from 1 species